GACGAACGCUGGCGGCGUGCUUAACACAUGCAAGUCGAGCGGUAAGGCCCUUUCGGGGGUACACGAGCGGCGAACGGGUGAGUAACACGUGGGUGACCUGCCUUCAGCUCUGGGAUAAGCCUGGGAAACCGGGUCUAAUACUGGAUAUGACUCCAUGACGCAUGUUGUGGGGUGGAAAGCCUUGUGCGGCUGAGGAUGGGCCCGCGGCCUAUCAGCUUGUUGGUGGGGUGANGGCCUACCAAGGCGACGACGGGUAGCCGGCCUGAGAGGGCGACCGGCCACACUGGGACUGAGACACGGCCCAGACUCCUACGGGAGGCAGCAGUGGGGAAUCUUGCGCAAUGGGCGAAAGCCUGACGCAGCGACGCCGCGUGAGGGAUGACGGCCU
rnacentral:rRNA from 1 species